AACGAACGCUGGCGGCAGGCUUAACACAUGCAAGUCGAACGCAUCGCAAGAUGAGUGGCAGACGGGUGAGUAACGCGUGGGAAUCUACCCAUCUCUGCGGAAUAGCUCUGGGAAACUGGAAUUAAUACCGCAUACGCCCUACGGGGGAAAGAUUUAUCGGGGAUGGAUGAGCCCGCGUUGGAUUAGCUAGUUGGUGGGGUAAAGGCCUACCAAGGCGACGAUCCAUAGCUGGUCUGAGAGGAUGAUCAGCCACAUUGGGACUGAGACACGGCCCAAACUCGUACGGGAGGCAGAAGUGGGGAAGGUUGGACGAUGGGCGCAAGCCUGUUCCAGCCAUGCCGCGUGAGUGAUGAAGGCCUUAGGGUUGUAAAGCUCUUUCACCGAUGAAGAUAAUGACGGUAGUCGGAGAAGAAGCCCCGGCUAACUUCGUGCCAGCCGCCGCAGUAAAAC
rnacentral:rRNA from 1 species